rnacentral:rRNA from 1 species
CUUGACAUCCAGAGAAUUUAGCAGAGAUGCUUUAGUGCCUUCGGGAACUCUGAGACAGGUGCUGCAUGGCUGUCGUCAGCUCGUGUUGUGAAAUGUUGGGUUAAGUCCGCAACGAGCGCAACCCUUAUCCUUUGUUGCCAGCACGUAAUGGUGGGAACUCAAAGGAGACUGCCGGUGAUAAACCGGAGGAAGGUGGGGAUGACGUCAAGUCAUCAUGGCCCUUACGAGUAGGGCUACACACGUGCUACAAUGGCGUAUACAAAGAGAAGCGACCUCGCGAGAGCAAGCGGACCUCAUAAAGUGUGUCGUAGUCCGGAUUGGAGUCUGCAACUCGACUCCAUGAAGUCGGAAUCGCUAGUAAUCGUAAAUCAGAAUGUUACGGUGAAUACGUUCCCGGGCCUUGUACACACCGCCCGUCACACCAUGGGAGUGGGUUGCAAAAGAAGUAGAUAGCUUAACCUUCGGGAGGGCGUUUACCACUUUGUGAUUCAUGACUGGGGUGAAGUCGUAACAAGGUAGGCGUAGUGCU